GAACAUUCUUUGUAGAACAAGGGAGUUCUACCCUUGCCCCUGGCUUUAAUGAAUGGAUGUGGCUCACAGAGGCUGUGACCAACAUGCUUGUAUCUGAGUAGUGUUCUGAAAUCUAGAGACCCACUCCCACCUCUUUAACGCAGAAGUCCUCAGAUUCUAAUGUGAGAAUGGGAGAUGUUGGACAACAAACAAAAAACAACAGCAGCAACAUAGCACAGCAAAGAAUCCCAGGCACAAAAAGAACUUGAUUGCAAUGUCAAGCUCAGGACCAACCCUGGAGAUUCUGAUGAAGUUGUUCUGGCUGGGAGCCCUGGAACCUGCUUUUUAAGCCAACCCACCCCGUCUCACCCAGGUGAUAUGAAGUCCACCCUUUGAGAAACCUUGACUUAGACAGAGGACUGGAAUGAUUCUGCCUACCAUUUGCAAGUCCCCACCUCCUGCUGUGCCUAAACCCCCUUUCUAAGGGCAUCCUGAGCCUGGACGUAACUUCUGCAGCCUGCUCCCUGUCUCCUUACCAGGUCUCUGAGUUGUCUGUUCCCUUCCUCAAAAGCAUAUGGUAUGAACCCCUGCCAUUGGAGAAUGUUGUGCAGGCAAAUGAACUUAUGUUAGUGACAGACAGGAACAAGGAGUUUUUAUGAAACCAGAACUGUGAUUGUAUUUUAUGAAGAAUUAUGACUUGAUUAUUACAAAAGAGGAAGGUUUCACAUGUGAAAGAAAUUCUUCUCCUGGGAGCUGGCAUUUCUUUUUCUUUGUUGCCAGGUACCAGCUGUGGGAGGGCUUGUCUGAGCAUCUUGCCAUUUUGACAAAUUUUGAGGCAUGAAAGCCAUGUGAAUCCUGAGGAGCAGAGUUCAGAAAGCUCCCUGGGUUUCCUUUGUGUGCUUUCUUCCCAAAGGAGACUGUGGGUCCAUAGAGGAAUGUUGGGUGCAGUGCUAUAUAGCUCAGACUUGCAAGGUCAUGCAGCGCUGCAAUUCCUUAAUGGAUGUUUUUAGAAAUCGUGCUGCCUUUUGAUAGUAAGAGCAGAACUCACAAUCAUACUAGUGAAUCUUCUGAGUGAGUGUGUUCCUGAGCAAAUCCAGGUAACACCAGGCUGACUGUCUCCACCUUGGGAGCUCAGCCAUGCCAGUUUGCAUAGCAGACACAUGCCUCUGACUCAGGCUCUGGGUGCCUGGAAAAGGUGGUCCACAUUUCAUUUUAAGAUGAGACCUGGCUCAUUUUCCAGCUAGUGGAAAUUCCAAGGAAGAAAGAAUUCAUUUGCCAUCUUAAAAGUUAAAAACAUAAGAACCGCUUUAAAGACACAGAUUUCUUAACAUGGAGUGGCAUUCAACAGUUUUGCAAUUAAAAUGAUAAUGAACAUUUCUUAUAAGAACUUCUCUUUAAAACCAGUGCGAUGGGUUCACAGCACACCAUUAGAAGGAAUUAUGUAAAGCAGCCUCUCUGUUCCAAGUUUUAUUUUAAGAUUUAAUUUAUUCCAGAUUCUGCAGGAAAAAACCGUCCAUGUGACAAGCCUGCUAACAGAUGUCAAUUUAGUUUUAUAGCACAUGCCUGCACUUCAGAGUCAGAAAAUGGAGAUUAUUCCUUUUGCCCGCUGUUUAUUACACAGCACAGCUUCAUAACACUAUGCCCCAGAGGAAAGUUGAUUAAUAACCUGUGGGCAAGCAGCUCAUCCUGCUUCAUCUUCGGCAGUGUUGACUGGAAGCUUUAUUUCAUAAUACCCUUUUGGGUUAAGAGUAGUGCCAGAAAGAACCAAGGUGACAGAAAAUGAAUUUUUCUGUUUUAAUAUCAUCUAGGUCAAAAGACAGAUUAUGCUAUAGUAUAAAUGAUGUGAUAAAAAAAUAAGAAUUACUUAGCUGGACAAAGUCUAUUAGAUUUUUAUGGUGUUGAUGGGUAAAACAAAGCAACUUUGUGAUAAAUAUAAUGUCAAAUUUAAUUACGACAAGAAAGCUUUACUUCUUAUUCACAGGGUCUACUUUUUCCUGUUCACAUGGUAUAAUAGUUACAGGUUUAUAUGUGCAUGACACAUCCUCAUUCACUUGUUCCUCUGUAUCUUUCUCUGCCCAUCCAGAGAAAAUAUUUGGGUUGGGUGACACCCAAAUAAAUAUUUGUUAAGUAUAUUCUAGAUGUAAUUUCCGAUGCUUAAA